UGGGGAAGUCUUUCCGCAAUGGGCGCAAGCCUGACGGAGCAAUGCCGCGUGAACGAAGAAGGUCUUCGAUUGUAAAGUUCUGUCCUUAUCGAAGAGAGGGUAUAGAGUGAAAAAUGAUAUACUAGGACGGUAGAUGAGGAGGAAGCCCGGCUAACUACGUGCC
rnacentral:rRNA from 1 species